rfam:Gorilla gorilla gorilla genomic chromosome, chr1, whole genome shotgun sequence
GCUGGGCAUGGUGGCUCAUGCCUGUAAUCCCAGCACUUUGGGAGGCCGAGGUGGGUGGAUCACCUGAGGUCAGGAGUUCGAGACCAGCCUGGCCAACAUGGUGAAACCCCGUCUCUA